AACGCUAGCUACAGGCUUAACACAUGCAAGUCGCGGGGUAACGACGGAGAAAGCUUGCUUUUUCCGGGCGACGACCGGCGCACGGGUGAGUAACGCGUAUCCAACCUGCCCUAUACAAAGGCACAGCCCGGCGAAAGUCGGAUUAAUGCCUUAUGAAGUGAGAAGAAGACAUCUGAUUUUCACUAAAGCUGAGGCGGUAUAGGAUGGGGAUGCGUCCGAUUAGGUAGACGGCGGGGUAACGGCCCACCGUGCCGACGAUCGGUAGGGGUUCUGAGAGGAAGGUCCCCCACACUGGAACUGAGACACGGUCCAGACUCCUACGGGAGGCGGCAGUGAGGAAUAUUGGUCAAUGGGCGAUAGCCUGAACCAGCCAAGUAGCGUGAGGGAAGACGGCCCUAUGGGUUGUAAACCUCUUUAGUCCGGGAAUAAAGUGGGCGACGUGUCGCCUAUUGCAUGUACCGGAAGAAUAAGGACCGGCUAAUUCCGUGCCAGCAGCCGCGGUAAUACGGAAGGUCCGGGCGUUAUCCGGAUUUAUUGGGUUUAAAGGGAGCGCAGGCGGUCUGAUAAGCGGGCAGUGAAAGGCGGUGGCUCAACCAUCGAGGUGCUGUCCGAACUGUCGGACUUGAGUACGUGCGAGGCAGGCGGAAUUCGUGGUGUAGCGGUGAAAUGCUUAGAUAUCACGAAGAACCCCGAUUGCGAAGGCAGCUUGCCAGUGCGCCACUGACGCUAAAGCUCGAAAGUGCGGGUAUCGAACAAGGAUUAGAUACCCCUGGGUAGUCCGCACGGUAAACGAUGGAUGCUCGCUGUUCGU
rnacentral:rRNA from 1 species